rfam:Mycoplasma sp. CAG:611 genomic scaffold, scf185
GGGGUUGAUUUGGGUUCGACAUUUGUAAAAUGGUUUAGAUGGCAAGUAGUAGGUAUGCUUUAAAUCCAAAAUAAAAAUAACUGGAAACAGAAAUCAAUUAGCUUUCGCAUAGUAUAAUGAAAGCGCUUCUUCUAUUUUCUUUCCUGUGGAAGAUAUUAGAGGCUCAUUUUAGCAGGAUAUAAAGUGGUUUUGUCUUAGGAUUACUUCGAAUUUUAUAAGACUUACUAAUUAUAAGGUUUGUUGGUAACUAUUUUAAUUAGGAAACUUUAUUAUCAACUAAACUUGUAGAAGUCUAAAUUUGUUUACUUAUGGACAGGGGUUCAAUUCCCCUCAACUCCACCA